rnacentral:rRNA from 1 species
CAGUAGCCACGGUAAUACGGAGGGGGCUAGCGUUGUUCGGAAUUACUGGGCGUAAAGCGCACGUAGGCGGCUUGGUAAGUUAGAGGUGAAAGCCCGGAGCUCAACUCCGGAGUUGCCUUUAAGACUGCCGAGCUAGUAGGUGAGAGAGGUAAGUGGAAUUCCGGGUGUAGAGGUGAAAUUCGUAGAUAUUCGGAAGAACACCAGUGGCGAAGGCGGCUUACUGGCUCAUUCUAGACGCUGAGGUGCGAAAGCGUGGAGAGCAAACAGGAUUAGAUACCCCAGUAGUCCCUGUCUCUUAUAC